rnacentral:rRNA from 1 species
GACGAAGGGGGCUAGCGUUGUUCGGAAUUACUGGGCGUAAAGCGCGUGUAGGCGGUUGUCCAAGUUGGAUGUGAAAGCCUUGAGCUUAACUCAAGAAAUGCAUUCAGGACUGGAUGACUAGAGGACCGGAGAGGAUAGUGGAAUUCCCAGUGUAGUGGUGAAAUACGUAGAGAUUGGGAAGAACACCAGUGGCGAAGGCGGCUAUCUGGACGGUUUCUGACGCUAAGACGCGAAAGCGUGUGGAGCAAACAGG